rnacentral:rRNA from 1 species
UACGUAGGGUGCAAGCGUUGUCCGGAAUUAUUGGGCGUAAAGAGCUCGUAGGCGGUCUGUCGCGUCGGCUGUGAAAUCCCGAGGCUCAACCUCGGGUCUGCAGUCGAUACGAGCAAACUAGAGUGUUGCAGGGGAGACUGGAAUUCCUGGUGUAGCGGUGAAAUGCGCAGAUAUCAGGAGGAACACCGGUGGCGAAGGCGGGUCUCUGGGCAACAACUGACGCUGAGGAGCGAAAGCGUGGGGAGCGAACGGG